rnacentral:tRNA from 2 species
GAGUCUGUAGCUCAGUUGGAUAGAGCAACGGCCUUCUAAGCCGUGGGUCGGGGGUUCGAAUCCCUCCAGGCUCG